GCAGGUGACGAGGUCUUAACCUCCAUCACUGAUGGCCAGCGUUGGUUCUGCUGAUCCAGGUGGGCACCCUUUCCAUGUCACCAUAGCAUAUGCUUCCUUCCUCAAAUGGCCUGCUUGAUGAAGCAGGAGGACCUUCCGAGAGAGGAAGAUACUGAUUCAUCAAGGGUACAUAAGCAUCCAUGCCCCCUCCUAGAACUUUCCAGUAAACUCCAGUGGUGCCUGUGCAAAAGAGUGCGGGGUAAAGCAAGCUUCCAAGAUAUUAGACACGACUGAUCGGAACUGACAUAGCCUGCCUGUC
rnacentral:snRNA from 1 species